GGAUGAACGCUGGCGGUCUGCUUAACACAUGCAAGUCGAACGAACUCUUCGGAGUGAGUGGCGGGACGGGUGAGUACGCGUGAGAAUCUGCCUGUGGGUCGGGGACAACCACUGGAAACGGUGGCUAAGUACCGGAUGAGCCGAAAGGUAAAGAUUUAUUGCCCACAGAUGAGCUCGACGUCGUGAUUAGCUAGUUGGUAAGUAAAAGCGUACCAAGGCGACGAUCAGUAGCUGGUCUGAGAGGAUGAGCAGCCACACUGGGACUGAGACACGGCCCAGACUCCUACGGGAGGCAGCAGU
rnacentral:rRNA from 1 species